CGCUAUCAUCCUACGGGAGGCAGCAGUGGGGAAUAUUGCACAAUGGGCGCAAGCCUGAUGCAGCCAUGCCGCGUGUGUGAAGAAGGCCUUCGGGUUGUAAAGCACUUUCAGUCGUGAGGAAGGUAGUGUAGUUAAUAGCUGCAUUAUUUGACGUUAGCGACAGAAGAAGCACCGGCUAACUCCGUGCCAGCAGCCGCGGUAAUACGGAGGGUGCGAGCGUUAAUCGGAAUUACUGGGCGUAAAGCGCAUGCAGGUGGUUUGUUAAGUCAGAUGUGAAAGCCCGGGGCUCAACCUCGGAAUAGCAUUUGAAACUGGCAGACUAGAGUACUGUAGAGGGGGUAGAAUUUCAGGUGUAGCGGUGAAAAUGCGUAGAGAUCUGAAGGAAUACCGGUGGCGAAGGCGGCCCCCCUGGACAGAUACUGACACUCAGAUGCGAAAGCGUGGGGAGCAAACAGGAUUAGAUACCCUGGUAG
rnacentral:rRNA from 1 species